rnacentral:rRNA from 1 species
CCUACGGGUGGCAGCAGUAGGGAAUUUUCGGCAAUGGGGGGAACCCUGACCGAGCAACGCCGCGUGAACGAAGAAGUUAUUCGUAUUGUAAAGUUCUGUUAACAGGGAAGAAAGAGAAAUGUGACGGUACCUGAAGAAUAAGCUCCGGCUAACUACGUACCAGCGGCGGCGGUAAUACGUAGGGAGCGAGCUUUAUCCGGAAUUAUUGGGCGUAAAGGGUUCGUAGAUGGCAUAGGAAGUCUUUUGUAAAAAUGCUGGGCUCAACCCAGUAGGGCCACAGAUACUGGAAAGUUAGAGUAUGAGAGAGGCAAGUGGAACUACAGGGGUAGCGGUAAAAUGCGUAAAGAUAUGUAGGAACACCAGUGGCGAAGGAGGCUUGCUGGGUCGAUACUGACAUUGAGGCACGAAAGCGUGGGGAGCAAACAGGAUUAGAUACCCUGGUAGUC